GCUAUUGCCAACUCCAGGAGGCAGAGUUAAGUUUCUGUUACAGGGGGUGGCAUGUACCUUAACUCCGUAUUUCUGAGAUUUCAGACAUUUAGGUAUCUGUGACUGGAUUAACUGAAAGAGUAUGUAAAAGCAGAAGUGAUUUCUAAAAGUAGUGAAAAACAGCUCAGGAUUCUUGUGUUUGUGCGGUAAUUUAGACAGUGGAAGAGGAGCAAACCAUCAGCUCCCAACCAGCCAGCCCAUGACAACAUUUCCCAGUGAGAACAGGAACUGGGUAAUGGAUCGGCCUCUCCAGCCAGCAAAAGAAGCCAGAAAGCAGCCUUGACAUCUCCCUCCCACGGGAGCUGUUUUUAUGUAUUGCCAUCCUUAUGUGUAUAAAGACUUCAGUGCAUAAUCCUCCCGCUCCACCAAAAUGCUAGUAAAACAAACACUCACUUUCUCCAGUGA